UAAAAAUUAUCAUCACAGUUAAUUAGCUUAUACGUGACCAUCUUUGCCCACAAAAUACACCAAAAAUUUUCAAUUCCCUGCUCACCCCCUCCAUCAGGUUCAUCCUUUUCAAUUCCCUAUCUCCCCUAGUCCUAAUCUGAAAUUAAGAACCCUAGUUUAUGGAGGAAGACGAUGUCUUAUGUAGAAUCUGAGACCAGCUAUUCAGGAUGAUUUAUCUUGCUAAGAAAUCUGAAGACGGAGACGAUGGAUUAUGUAGAUCUGACAGUGAUGAAUCCUGUAAAGAGAACGACGCUUCAUUACCAGCUGUGUGUCCAUAGAAAUUGCAGAACUUGGAUGCUCUUUGAGGUACACCGUUAUUGUGUAGAGGAAAUCUUCGGGUGUAAAGGCAAUCACUACUUCUUUGUGUAUCCCAAUCAAAAUGAACACCUGAUUUGCCGCCUCUGUGCUCGCGAAUGGUUUGUACCAUGGGGAUCAAACUCGUGUUUCUGUGGAGUAUGAAGUGCCAGAAGGGAUUGCAAAGUUGCCACCAGAUAUUAAAUCACUGAUAAUAUGGCUGCCUGAACAUUUGGAAGAUGGAGAUGGCGAUUCUGUACCCCUAGAAGCGGACCAUAUACUUGUUAAGUUCACCUGACCCCACCAGAGAUUGGAGAAGACUACUAGUUAUACACUCUUCUUCGUCAAGGAUUAGAUGAAUGGCCACUAGGUAAAAAGGCAAUAAUUGUAACUCCUACAAGUCUAGUAAGCAACUGGGAGGCAAAAAUUAAGAAUAGGGUUGGUGAAAGAGUUAAGCUUGUUGGUUUAUGUGAAAGUAGCCGUGAUGAUGUCAUUUCCAACAUUUAUAACUUCAGAAGCCCACAUAGCCGGUUACAGGUGCUGACUGAAUCAGCUGAUAAGACUGCUAAAAUAUGGACAAUAUCUGAGGAUUUCAAUGGGACCAUUGCGAAAACAUUAUGUAACUGAAGCCAUUGUUGGAGGGCAAGAUGGUAAAUUUCACAUAUAUUCAGUUAAUGGCGAUUCUCUUACCGAAUAAACUGCCCUCGAAAAACAUCAAGGUGCGAUUACGGUUAUCCAUUACUCUCCUGAUGUUUCUAUGUAUGCCUCUGCUGAUGCCAUAGGAAAAACAAAUACGGGUGACCAAAGGUUAGACAAUAGCCACACUUAACAUUACAAAAAAUGUUGUGUCUAGUAAACGUUUUUAGCCACACUUAUAAUAAACUAAUGUAACUAUGUAAUAGAAUCGGCCACAAUUUGUCACAUUGUUUUUGUUUAUGUGACGGAAUAAUAGUAAAUGUCAUGGAAAAAACAAAUAUAUGUGACCAAAGGUUAGACAACAGCCACACCAUAGUCACUUUGUUUCUUAUUUGUGUGACCACAUGAUAGAAAUCGUCAUAAGAAAAAAAAAAUAUGUGUAACCAAAGGUUAGACAAUAGCCACAUUUAAAAUUACAAGAUUUCGUGUGGCUAUAAAUAACCAUUAGCCAUACCACAGUCACUUUAUUUUUUGUUUGCGUGUCUGUAUAACAGAAACAAUCACACUUACAGUAAGUUCAUGUGACUAUAUAAUAGAAACAGUCACACUUAUAAUAAUUCAUGUGACCGUUUCUACCCUUUAGGCACACUUACUGGGCAAAAUGCUUGAUAACAACAACCCUUUUUGCCACACUUUUUUUUUAAUUGAUGUGGCUAAAACAAACUUUUUUGGUAAUUUUUGUAACUAUAUAGUAGUAACGAUCACGCUUAAAGUAAAUACAUGUGGCCGUUGUUAUCCUUUUGCCACACUUAAUGGAUGAAAUGUAAGUUUUAACCAAAAAAUGUUUGUACCCAUUAGCCACACUUUUAUGUUCUACGGCCACUAAAAAGUGUGUGUGGUCGUAUGAUACCUACGAUGACUCGAGCUUUGGUCACACUUGACCAUAAAAAAAUAUGUGAGGCGAAAGACAUAUAGUCACACUUUUUUUGUGUGGCUGUAUCCCUAUUUUGGCGUAGUGUUAAGUGAUCCACCUCGAUUCUAAAGUCUUGACAUUUGCUAAGAUUUAUCUUGAGACCUGAUACAAAUUAAAAGCAUCUUUGAAUACUCCUUAGCAAAGUGUAUUCCUAGAAUUCCUUCCCCAUGAAUAAUACGUCAUUGGCAAAGAUCAAAUGUGACAAUAAAGGGACAUUAUUUGACACUUUUACCCCAUCAAAAACUCCAUUCGAACAAGCUUUCUUCAAAAUGCAAGUUAAACCCUCCAUAGCAAUAAGGAGAUAUAGGAUCCCCUUGUCUUAGACCUCUUGUGCAAACAAAUUCACUUGUAGGCGAACCGUUUACAAGAGUUGCAGACCUACUCGAAGAGAGAAUAGUUGAUAUCCACUUAAUCUAUUUCCUUGGAAAGCCCAUUUUCUCCGAAUAGAAUACAAAUACUUCCAACAUAGAGAAUCGUAAGCGUUUUCAAGAUCAACUUUAAAAAAAUAGCUUUACGUUUAGUCCUCUCCAUCUAAGCAAUAACCUCAUUUACAAUCAAAGGGCCAUCAAGAAUGCUCCCGUUUGAAAGAAAAUCCAUUUGUUCUAUGACAAACGACACUUUCUGUUUACUUCCGUGCAAUUAAAUAAUUAUUUAUUUUCUACAAUUAUGUGUAUUAAACGUCAAUACAGCAUGUCUGCAUAUCAUACAUUUAGAUAUAUUGCAGAAUACAUAUUAAUCAUGCAUGUCAUACAUUUUAUUCUCCGCAUUUCGAAACAAUUAAAACAAUGCGCCAAACAACUAGUAAACUUACUGGUUAGACUAGUUGUGUCAGCGCAGCUCCGGUACUCAGCUAAACGAUAGAUUUAGGACCUAGAUGUAAGUCCGACAUCAAAAAUAUAUCAAAUCCCAAGUGGUGAAACAAGGAUAUUUAGUAACACUUUCCGAAAAAAUUAACUAGCUUUAAAAGUGUCCGAUUCGGCCCAUAAAAGACAAUUGUCCGCAAAAUUCAGCAUUUGGUAAUUUAUACUAAGUCUAGAAAUAAUAUUAAACAUCAAAAACAACUUAAAAAGCAUUAGGAAUACCAUUAAUACACAAUAACCUAUCAUACCAUACAAUUUACACAAGAUGAUUCUUUAACGAUCCACUAACGAAACUAGCACCAAACAAUUCUCCGAACACUAACUAGACACCAAAUAUAAACUAGUUGACAUUGUUUGAUUAUUGUAGAACUAGUAUAUGCCAUAUAAUAACUUAUUACACUUAAAAACACUUAACAACAAUUUACAUCUACUUAGGCACUAAACUUACAUCUAAGACCCCUCAACUUACAAACUUCAUCAUCUAACCCACUGAUAUAACCGUCCCCAUAGGGGGACCCACCUCUUUCUCAUGUUGACAUGGCCUUAAUGGUCAAACAUGCCACUUCUUAAUCCCAUGGUUAAAGACUUGAUGGAAGUUUAUAAAGAAACCACUAAACAAUAAACCUUAUCUUCUCAUCACACUUCAAAAAUCAACUUCAUCUCCUUCCUCCUCUCUUCUCUCAUUUCGGCCAUUGCCACCUCCACUUCACCUUCCUUUUUCAAUCAAUUUACAAGCAAUCCAAGGGUAUACAAAGGUGUAUCAAGGCUACCUAAGAAGGCUUCAAGUCUUGGAAGUGCAAAGACCUCACUAUAGGAAGCUUUUAUCCACCACUUUAAUCUUCUUUUCAUGAUCUUGUUCAUAAGUGUUCUUCCCUAGCCACCAGUGCUAGUUGUGAGUAUUCUCUAACCUUCAUUUUGAUCCUUGUUAGUAGUAUGUUAUAAAUGUACAAGUAAACCAUCAUGAAACUUAUCUUUAAAAAGAUAAACACAUGAAGGAGUAACAUAAUCUAAAAGAAAUCAGUGUUCUUGAUGUUGUGUUGAAGUGUUUAGUUGAUAGUUUGUGUUGACGAUGAAACAUGCUACAAGUACACUUUCUAUAUCAUGUUUAAAGUGAAGAUCUAAAAGUAUACAUAUGGAUCUUACAAGAUCCAUGAUGAACAUGUUAAUAAACUUGAUGAACAUGAAAUGUGAACUUGUUAAAGUUAUUAAAAUGAUAUGUUUAAACUUAUAAACUCAUAGAAAAAGUGGAUGAACAAAGUUUUCAAGAAUGAUUUUCUACAAAGUUUAUAAAAUAUAACAAACAAGACAUGUUUUUAGUAAAUAGACAUGGUAAAAAUGUAGAUCCAAAAUGCAACAAGUUCACAUGAAGUUUCAAGCUUAUUAACAUGAAAAGUAUAUUAUUUAUAUAUUUAUACUUGUAAAAAUUGUUGUGAAUGAUUUGUUGAGUUUUGAAAUAUAAUAACACAUGUUUUUAAACAUGGGAAAAUCCCUAAAUUUAGGGGAAACUAUGACAAAUUUUUUGUAAAAUUAUAACACUUAGAAAAAUAUACUUUUGCAAGAUUUUUACUAGUUAAAGUGUUUAACCAUAAUUUCGCCAAGUUUUUAUACAAAAAUAUAAGUUAAGAAAAUAGUGUUUUUCUUAAAGAUAAAAAUGGAUAUAAAUGUAUAUAACUAGGGCAAAUUAUAUAUAAUUAGUAGUCACCCAAAAAUUGUCUGUUUAUGUAUAUUAUGUAUUAGUAUAAAUGUAGGGUUCAAAAGUUACAAAAUACACACAAGGAGUACAAAUAUAAAAUACACCUAAAAUACCUUGAAAAAUAAUUAAGUAUAAAAAUAAAUAUACUUACCCAAAGAAUGGGUGUAUGGAGAAAGAUACAAAAAUACAUACUUAUAUAUUUCCUUACCAAAAAUCAUUGACAUAUGCACAUUGGACUAUAUGGACAAAUAUAUAUUAUAUAUAUAUAUAUAUAGGGAGAAGAUCAUGCGAGAACCACAUCUUAUUGUGAGAACCGCGAGAACCAAUGUGAACACACCAAAAAUGCCUAAA